AGCCAUUCUGAGUUUGAAGCGGGGAAUAGAGAUUCCCCAUCAAUUCUCAAUUUUAUUUUUCUUUUUCUUCCCUCAUCAUCUCUCGACGUUUCCCAAUUUUUUCCCUUCCAGAUUUCUACUUCUUCUUCUGGUACGUGGUAUGGGCCCUGAUUUUCGAGUUUUGGUUCAGAAAAGUAGAAAGCAGGCAAAACAGUAUCAUAGAUUGUAUAAGUGGUGUAAGGCCUUUUGGUGUAUCUCUACUGGUUGCUGGAUACGAUGACAAUGGUCCACAAUUGUAUCAGGACGUGAAAGCAAUUGGAUUAACACAAGGUGAUGAGAUUAUGGAAUCUUCCCCAGUUUCUCAAACAACAGAUCCGAGGCCUACUUUUUCAGAUAAUGUACCUAAUCUAGGUAAUGGUGGAAAUGUUCCAGCAAUGAAUGUGAAUAAUAAACUGCCCCCAUUAUAGAUUUGUAACAAUCUAUA